UGCCAGUUGAGGGGAAGACAAAGGU
rnacentral:piRNA from 1 species